GUCCGCGCGCGCUCCACUACUCUGACGUCGCGUGUCGGCUUCCUAAUCCGCCGUGUGAACCGGUGCGCUGGGGAGGGGGGGUCCAUGAAGCCGUGGGCACCUGGACAUGGUUCCGUCUUCGCCGGGAAGCCAAGGCUCCUCGUAUCCCGCCCAUCGCUGUCAUAAUUGUCUAUAAGCGCGCAGGGGUCCGGUCCGCGUGAGGGACGACCGCCCGCUGCGUCUGAGCCGCUCUUGUGAAAUUGUUUGACGGCCGAGGAGAAGCAGCGGCGACGGGGAGCCGAAGUAGCCGACGGUUGACAGGUGCCGUCGAACGGCCGCGCGCGUAGAGAUGCCGCCCGUCCAGAGGACGAUGUCGGAUCUUCGUACCAGGGCGGAGGGAUAUGAAAAGACAGAGGACGUUUCAGAAAAAACAUCCUUAGCUGACCAGGAAGAUGCUCGACUGAUACACCUCAACCAGCCACAGUUUACCAAGUUUUGUAGCAAUCGAGUGAGCACAGCUAAAUACAAUGUCCUCACCUUCCUUCCCCGUUUCCUGUACUCACAGUUCAGGAGGGCAGCCAAUGCCUUCUUUCUCUUCAUUGCACUGCUGCAGCAAAUACCAGAUGUGUCUCCCACUGGUCGCUGGACCACACUGGUGCCACUACUCUUCAUCCUGGUUGUGGCUGCUGUCAAGGAAAUCAUUGAGGAUCUAAAACGUCACAAAGCUGACAACGUUGUCAACAAGAAGGAAUGUCAAGUAUUGCGGAAUGGUGCCUGGGAAAUUGUACACUGGGAAAAGGUGGCUGUUGGGGAAGUAGUCAGAGCUGCAAAUGGGGAUCACCUACCGGCUGACCUCGUCAUUCUGUCGUCCAGUGAACCACAGGGAAUGUGCUACAUUGAAACGUCAAACUUGGAUGGAGAAACAAACCUUAAAAUCAGACAGGGUCUCCAAGUGACCUCAGAUAUAAAGGACAUUGACAGCCUGAUGCGCCUUUCAGGGCGGAUGGAGUGUGAAAGUCCAAACCGCCAUCUAUAUGAGUUUGUGGGAAACAUCCGCCUGGAUGGACACAGCACAGUGCCACUGGGUCCAGACCAGAUUCUUCUUAGGGGAGCCCAGCUGAGGAACACCCAGUGGGUCCAUGGUGUGGUGGUCUACACUGGACAUGACACAAAGCUGAUGCAGAAUUCCACUCGGCCUCCUCUGAAGCUGUCCAACGUGGAGCGGAUCACCAACUUUCAGAUCCUCGUGCUGUUUGGCUGCCUGCUGGCCAUUUCACUGGUCUGCUCCAUCGGCCAAACCAUCUGGAAGUACCAGUAUGGCAAUGAUGCCUGGUACAUGGAUCUGAACUAUGGCGGUGCGGCUAACUUUGGCCUCAACUUUCUUACCUUUAUCAUCCUUUUCAACAACCUGAUCCCCAUCAGUCUUCUAGUCACUCUGGAGGUUAUAAAGUUCAUCCAGGCGUUUUUCAUCAACUGGGACACUGAUAUGCUCUAUGAGCCCACGAACACGCCUGCCAUGGCUCGUACCUCCAAUCUGAAUGAAGAGUUAGGCCAGGUGAAAUACAUUUUCUCUGACAAGACAGGGACGCUGACCUGCAACGUCAUGCAAUUCAAGAAAUGCACCAUUGCUGGUGUGGCCUAUGGUCACGUCCCUGAGGCUGAGGAGGGUAGUUUUGCAGAGGAUGACUGGCACAGCACACACUCAUCGGAUGAGGCUGGAUUUAAUGACCCGAGUUUACUGGAAAACCUCCAAAGUAAUCACCCAACUGCUGCGGUCAUCCUGGAGUUUAUGACCAUGAUGGCCAUCUGUCACACCGCGGUUCCUGAGCGCACGGAUGAAAAAAUCACCUACCAGGCUGCGUCUCCAGAUGAAGGAGCUCUGGUGAGAGCAGCACGGAACAUUGGCUUUGUGUUUUCUGGAAGAACCCCAGACAGCGUCAUUGUGGAAUCUCUUGGAAAAGAGGAGCAGUAUGAACUACUUCAUGUGCUGGAGUUUACAAGUGCGAGGAAGAGGAUGUCCGUCAUCAUGCGCACCCCAUCUGGGAAGAUCCGCCUCUACUGCAAAGGAGCCGACACAGUGAUCUAUGACCGUCUGGCAGAUAGCUCUAAGUACAAAGAGAUCACAUUGAAACACCUGGAGCAGUUUGCCACUGAGGGGCUACGAACACUGUGCUUUGCUGUGGCAGACAUCAGUGAGUCAAACUAUCAGCAGUGGCAGGAGAUCCAUCACAGAGCCGGCACCUCUCUGCAGAACAGAGCCCUAAAACUGGAGGAGAGCUACGAACUGAUAGAGAAGAACCUGCAGCUCCUGGGGGCUACAGCGAUAGAGGACAAACUCCAGGAUAAGGUUCCUGAGACCAUAGAAACACUAAUGAAAGCUGACAUCAAGAUCUGGAUCCUGACUGGGGACAAACAGGAAACAGCGAUCAACAUUGGACAUUCCUGUAAGCUACUGACCAAGAACAUGGGCAUGCUUGUGAUCAAUGAAGACACACUUGAUGCAACAAGGGAAACACUCAGCCACCACUGUGGAAUGCUGGGAGAUGCCAUCUACAAGGAGAACGACUUUGCUCUCAUUAUCGAUGGAAAGACUCUCAAAUAUGCCCUCACGUUUGGAGUGCGUCAGUACUUCUUGGACCUCGCCCUGUCCUGUAAAGCGGUCAUAUGCUGCAGAGUAUCUCCUCUUCAGAAGUCAGAGGUGGUGGAGAUGGUAAAGAAACAGGUAAAGGUGAUCACACUGGCCAUUGGUGAUGGCGCUAAUGACGUUGGAAUGAUCCAGACAGCUCAUGUCGGUGUUGGGAUCUCAGGCAAUGAGGGCCUGCAGGCAGCAAACUCGUCUGACUACUCCAUUGCCCAGUUCAAAUACUUGAAGAAUCUGUUGCUCGUCCAUGGAGCCUGGAAUUACAACCGCGUAGCCAAAUGUAUCCUGUACUGUUUCUACAAGAAUAUUGUCCUCUAUAUCAUUGAGAUUUGGUUUGCCUUUGUCAACGGCUUCUCAGGACAGAUCCUAUUUGAACGCUGGUGCAUCGGCUUGUACAACGUGAUUUUCACUGCUCUGCCUCCUCUGACUUUGGGAAUAUUUGAGCGCUCCUGCAGGAAAGAAAACAUGUUGAAGUACCCUGAACUUUACAAAACCUCUCAGAAUGCCAUGGGCUUUAACACCAAGGUCUUCUGGGCCCAUUGUCUGAACGGCCUCUUCCACUCCGUCAUCCUCUUCUGGUUCCCCCUUAAAGCCUUCCAGCAUGAUACAGUUUUUGGCAGUGGAAAAACUCCAGACUAUCUUCUCCUGGGCAACAUGGUUUACACAUUUGUGGUCAUCACAGUUUGUCUUAAAGCUGGCCUUGAGACCUCAUCCUGGACCAUGUUCAGUCACAUCGCCAUUUGGGGAAGCAUUGGCUUAUGGGUGGUGUUUUUCAUUAUCUACUCCUCCCUGUGGCCCCUCAUUCCUCUGGCUCCUGACAUGUCAGGCGAGGCAACCAUGAUGUUCAGUUCGGGUGUCUUCUGGAUGGGCCUGUUCUUCAUCCCAGUCACCUCGCUGGUCUUUGACGUGGCCUACAAAGUGGUGAAGAAGGCGUGCUUCAAGACUCUGGUGGAUGAGGUGCAGGAGCUGGAGGCUUUAUCCAAAGACCCUGGAGCAGUAGUGCAUGGGAAGAGUUUGACGGAGAGGGCCCAGCUCCUGAAGAACGUCUUCAAGAAGAGCACAGUCAGUCUGUACCGCUCGGACUCCAUGCAGCAGAACCUGCUCCGUCGGGAUGAGACCAUUGUUUUGUGACCUUUCUUUUUAAUUUCAUUACUCAGACCUCAUCCUGUUUAAAACUCUGGCCCCUGUAGCUCCCUUUUAGGAGCCUCCCUCCUUCUAUGACUUCCUGACCUUCCUCUCGUGUGCCUCUUGUGUCCUGAGUUGAGUUCAGUAGAGCAAAAUAAUGAUGAAAUGAUAAAAUGUUAUUCCCCCACAAUGCACACGACUCAGCUGGGUCCUAUGAACUUGCCCGCUGGCCUCCAGUUACUGACCGAGCCCUUUGACACCUGAAGAUGGCUACGCCUUCUCUCAAGAUGAAAACGGAGUGGUGUCUCAGUCUGAGGUCAUCAGAGCAUAUGACACCACCAAACAGAGGACCAACGAGUGGUGAGCCGCGGGCCGAUCCAGGGCCCCAACGGCCAUUUAUAAAGGCGAUAUUUAAAGCUUAAUGGGGCAGAAGCAGAGGAGCAGGGUGUGGCUCCAGCACCGAGGGGGCUUUGUCCCGUUUGUAAUCUUUGAAAAAGGGGGAAAAUAGGGAACAAGCAGUGUUCACUCUCAGCUGUAGUUAUGUGCCCAGCAGACAUGAUGAGCACUGUGCUUUCUUAGUAGUCUGUGGUCUGAAGUCCUUCACUGUUCUCACUCAGUUUGUUGGAGGGGACGCCUCCAAUGUGUUGAUUUAAAUAGACAGUAUUAGCGCGGCGCCAAAAGUCACUGUAACAAAUUCAAAUCAAACUCCUAAACACUGUUGUUGUAAAAGCUAAGACACCCGGCCGUGAUUAGUUCUAGAGGAUCUGAAAUUGUUGUGAUAAAUCGCCAAAGAGCAGCUGAAUAUACAAUCCUCCAACUACUAGUGAAUUCGGAAAACUUAAAACCAAAUGUAAUCACAGUCCUGAGUGUAUUCCAGCGCUACAUGGACCACUUCAGAGCAGACAUUUGAGUAUUUUCUUUUCUUUUUGCACUCGAAGAAGGAUCUGUUGUUGAAAGCCUUACAUUUGCUCAUGCCUUCAUGUCCAUUUUAUUUAAAAAAUACACUUGCUUACUAUUGUAGUCUCAUGUUUAACAUAUGUAGACAUUGUGCCUGGUUUUAUUUUUUUCACAUACAGUAUAAAUACUACAUACAGUAGUCCUGCUUUGACUGAUUGCAUUCCACGCAUUACUCCUGUCUCAACAAUCACAACGGUGCCUACGUAGAACCUUUCCCUCUUAGAAGAAAACGAUAGCCAAGAAUAGUUUAUCCAGCAUGAAUACACCAGUGCUCCACACACACACCUACUGCAUUCACAAGCACUGUCUCCCCGACCACGGUAUUGCACUCGUACAACGUUCAAACUAGAGUGCCUUGUGGCACAUGUACAAACGAAGGCUUGUCCCUGUGGAGCUGACCAGGAGGCUCUCUGAUGGCGAAGGUCAACGUGUUAACAGAGUUUCCCUUGUCUUUCAAACAUAAGUGCCAUUAGCUUAAGAGAGAGAGAAAUAUUAGCCAGGAAAACUCCACGACAGUAUCUAAACUAUUUGUCUCUAUAGUUAUUUUGUGGAUUUGUAUUUUUAUAUUGGAGAUGUACGACUUUUGCAUUGACUGGCUUUGUAAUGAAUCGUCUGUAACUUUUAGUUUUUCAUCCUCUGAUGAAGUGGCAGGUUAGAAUAGGUAGAAUGAGGAACCCGAGCUUUCCUAAAUGUCAUGUUCUUAAUAAUAUUAAUAUUGGUACGGCUUCAUUUAUUUAUUACUGACUACUCAUUGUCCGUGUGGUUGCUUUCUUCUCCCUAUGGGAGAACAGAUUUCAGAUUUCGUGUGCGCGUGUGCGUUGGUUUCUCGCCUGCAUGUGCAUGUGCCGUGUGAGUGUGUGUCUCCUGUACUGUGGGUAACGUCGCUGUGUGCGCUGCAUGUCUGUGUCCUCUGUGUGAUGCUGGGACCUCAGUCCUCCCAGGGUGUUUUUUUUUUCGAUCGUGUGUGUGUGUGUGUGUGUGUGUGUGUGUGUGUGUGUGUGUGUGUGUGUGUGUGUGUGUGUGUGUACGUACGUACGUGCGUGCGCCUGGUGACGCUCGCUCCAGUUGUCCGUCUGCACGACUCAAAGUAUAGCUAUGGUGUAUUACUGUGUGCUGAUGCAUGGCCCGUAUGGGAACGUGUGUGCGUUUGUGUGCGUCUCACCGCGUGCGGUUAAACUCUCGGUCGCAGAUGUGGGAGUUUCCGAUGCUCAGCUCGCUUCGACAGGUUGGACAGGAUGUUGCACAAUGCACUCGAUGUACCUUUCCAGUAGUGGGUAUCUGGUUUUAUCUCGCUUCAGUACACGACUUCUCUUGAGUGUCCAUGUGUGUAACUUUUGUUCAUGCAGCACCUCCGCUUUUCAGGAAAGCGUUUGUUUCUCGAUGAGCUGCAAAAUAAAGAUCAUGUUUCUCUGCUGGUCCUUAGUGUUAAAAUUGAAUUGGCCGUCGUUAUGUCACAUUUCUGAACUGCUGAAUGUGGAUGUUGUCGUCGUGGGAGGCUCGAACUGUUGCUUUUCUUUUUUGGAAAAUUUUAAAAACGUCUGUAAAAGUUGUGGGCUGCAUGAAUGGAUAACACAAAUUGUUCUCUGAAGUGUUAACUGUACUAUUUUGAUUCUUCAAGUGUUGAUCACUUACUAAAGAGAAAAAAGCUGCACCUUUAACUUAUUUUCAAUAUUAAUUUCUUUCCAUCAUUUUGUUCAAUGAUUGUUCUGCAUGUUGGGACUGCAAACUUAUAAGUGUUGUCUUUUACUGCCAUGAAGGACUACUGAAAUAAACUUUACAAUCACAGAUUCUGA